rnacentral:lncRNA from 1 species
CGUUGAUCGUUAUUUACAUUUAAUGUCUUGUUUCGAUUCGUUUCUGUAAAGAGGAAAAAAAAAGACAAAUAGGAGCGCCCCCCUCCCCCCACCCUCGUGUGGGCGGGGGUGGGUCGUGUCUUAUUCUUAGUAUUUCUUUUUCCUUUUCUUUACUUAACAUUUUGUUUCCAUUUGUUGUUCUUCUUGAUGUUGUGUUUCAUGACACAAUUAGACAUAUUCCAUGACUUUUGACCCUUUCUGGGGGACGGGGACGACGUAGAGAGGUCACCUUUUUCCUUAUAUACCAUUGUCUCAUCUGGUAUUCGGUUCUGUCUGCCACAUUUUGGAACUGAAUUUGUUCCACUGUGGUGGUGGCCCUUACCUUUUACUCCCGUUGAUUGCCCUGUGGGGUUUCAGGUAAGAACCCAAAGUGACCCGAGUUUAUUAGGGAGAGGGACAAGGGAGAGCACUCUGACAGCAGACACUGUCUAUGCUUCCCCCCCACCCACUCCCUUUCUCUCAUCUCUCCACUGUCCCCAAUUUUUUUAAAGGGUUUUCUGGUUGUUUAUCAUUUUGUAUGUUUUGGUGGUUUCUUUUUUGAUUUUUUUUUUCACUUGUUACUGUUUUGAGUUGGUAGAUUCAGGAGGUGGCGGUGGCGGCGGCGGUGGUGGUGGUUGUAUGGUGGCGGCGGCGGUGGUGAUAUGAUGGUAGUUGUGGUGGUGGUGGUGGUGGAGGGGGCAAUGGUUGCAACACAUGCUGGACAAAUAAUAAAUGGCCACCGGACAUAUAGAUAUCCAGAUGAAUGUUUGUAAAUGGCUGUUUGCGACUAACGACUUAACAGUUCCUUAGACUAGAAAACCUUGCAACUGAUAUAGUUUUGGGUGCAAUAAGACCCUCGUCCUCACCUCAAUGCUAAGUGGUCAAUAUUUGUUGUAAACUUAAGGAACCACCUUCUCUACAUCUUUGUGUUUCAAGUGUUUAUUACCAGAUGAUAAAAUAAAUAAACAAAAUAAAAUGGAGUUCUAUUUAUCCACUUAAUUCGAAGACUCUCCAUAAUGGUCCUCUCCUAUGAAGUUGUCCUUAACCGACAUUACAAGCAUUGCUUGAAAACAGUUUUCUAUUUCUAAAAGUGUUUAAUAUUAAAGAUUAUCUAAUUAUAUUCCUUCAUCUAAUUUUGCUCUUUCUAAUAACAGAAGAACAUUCUCACAGCCAGCUGUUUCAUUAAAAUAAUAUUAUUUGCAACAUCGAGAAAAUCUGAAAAUAGUUUUGUUGUUGUUGUUGCUGUUCUUUGGUGCUUAAAAAAACCCCAAUCCAUUGCCCCCAAGUGGGAACAUGUUGGAAAAAAAGGGGACAGAAAGGCUUUUUCUGUUCCCAGUUUGGCUGAACUCCUAGAAUUAAAUGCUUAAUAUUAUUUUUAUCCAUUUCUGUAAUGUGACCCUAAAGGGUCAUCAACAUAAUCAACUCAUUAGCAAUUCAAUAAUUAGUUUUCCUUAAAGUAGAAUUAAUGAAACCUUAAUCUUCUAAGACUAAUAUAUCCUGCCCUUGAGGAAAAAAGGGUUUUGUUCAUAACCCCUUUCAGGACUCUCAUGAAAAAACAUUUUGAAAGUUUUAUUUUAUAUUUUUUUCAAACUGUUUAAUAUUCAGAGAUUAUUCCUUAAAAUAAUUUAUUUCUGUUUAUGGCCCUUUUUAUAAAUCUCUUGAUCAGUAAAAGAUAUGAACAGAGAUCAAAGAUCAAUAAAUUACUGAUUGAAAAUAGAUCAGUACGGAUUAUCAGCAUCUGAGAUAAUCCAAAAACAAUGGUUCGAGUGACUGAUUAUUCCAUGCUAUAAAUCAUUAGUCGUGAAUUAGUGAUAGGAAUCAGAAAGCUCACAAAAUGAUAUAGACAUCUGAAACCAAUAACCAAUCAAUCAAAUUACUAAAUUACAUAACUGAGGGACCAGUAUUGGGUCCUUAAUCAGCCAUUCUGUGGGUUCAGUGAGCUUAGCAGCAUGUUUUACGUUUUUAUAUUCAUAUACCUCUCUCUCCUCGAUCACACCAUGUCAAAGGGUAUCAGAAGGAGCAGAGAUAAAGAAAUCCCUUUCUGUUCCCUGUGGCUGGUCCCACUUCUUCCAAAUUACGAGUUCAAUUUGUUCGAUAAUGUACAAGUUGUCUGAUAACACAACAGGAUUCAGAUUUUCGUAGAUUGUCUCCCUUAUCACAGAUUGGGGUUCCAGUCGAUUUAUUUGAGUUUUUUUUACACACACACACACACACAUAUAUUAUUUAUAUUAUCUUAUAUAUAUAUAUAUAUAUAUAUGUGUGUAUGUGUGUGUAUAUAUAUAUGUGUGUGUGUAUAUAUAUGUAUGUGUAUAUAUAUAUAUAUGUGUGUAUAUAUAUAUGUGUAUAUAUAUAUAUGUAUAUAUAUAUAUAUAUGUAUAUAUAUAUAUGUGUAUAUAUAUAUGUAUAUAUAUGUAUAUGUAUAUAUAUAUAUAUAUAUAUAUAUAUAAUGUGUGUGUGCGUGUGUUCUUUUUAGACUUAAACCAAUUGAAAUGUACAGAGGAAGGAUAAAACUUCAGCCCUUUAUAUACAAAAUAAAUAGGUACCGAGGUUUAAAUGAUGCCUACAGAAUCAUGAAUGUGUCUUCGUAUGCACAUGAGCACAUGUGAGCAAAUACACACACACACACACAUGCAUAUCUAUACAAAUGUAUUUUUGGGUGUCAGUGUGUCUAUGAAUAGAAAAAUGCAUGUUUGUGUGUAUGAUAUGAAUACAUACAUAUAUAUAAUAUACAUAUAGAUAAUAUGCAUGUAUGUAUAGUCUCAUUCAUAUUAUACACACGUGUUCUUAUAUAUAUAUAUAUCUAUAUAUAUAAUCCCUAAUAAAACUCGGUACUGUGAUGUGAACCCACCCACCCAGCUUUGUACAAUUUUGUCAAUGUCAACUUUGUAGUGUGUGUGUAUGUGUGAGCGUGUGUAUGUGUGUAUGUACACACACGUGUGUGUUUGUUUAAUUUUUGUUUCUCUUCUCCCUCACUUGUCUCCCCGUCCAUUCUACACACUUGAAAUGGAACCAGAUUCGGAAUGAAAGCAGAAAAAUGCACAGCCAUUUUGUAGAGUAACGUUAAUUAGGGGUGAACCAAAACAGACGGACAAACAGACAGACAGGUAGAUAGACAGAACUGGACACUGCUUUAGGUAGAAGGGAUAAAAGUCGUUUAAGGGCAGAAUUCACAGUCUGCUCCUUGUGAGCUUUAAUUUACUUUCACUCUUUGGAGUUCUUGAGAAUUCCUGACGACAAGAAUUAUCUGAUCCAUUCUUAUUCCGCCCCCCCCCCAUUCCCAGACCUAAUCCCCGUCCUUUGUGGCGCAACGGCAUGUUCAGUCCAGGGGAGAUAACUGCAAAUACUCAACUGAGAAUGGACAAACCUGAAAUUCCACUCAUUUGGACCCCGCUUAUCUUUUUCGUCGUAAUCCAGGAUUUCUAAUACCACUUUAUCUUAAAAAAACAAAUAAACGUUUUACUGCCAAUGAAAUUCUAUAUUUUAUAAAGAUUAAAUCUAAAAUCGUUAUCAUGGCUUCUAUAAUCAUUUUACAGUUUACAGAGGUUGUCACAGUUUCUUUUAGCUCGUUGAGUCAGAAGACGACAAACCCAAUAAAAAGGGAGUGACCCCUACUCCCCCCCCCCCCAAAAAAAAACAUUCGUAAUUUGUUCUGACUUGGAAAAAUACUUUGAAAUAAAAAAUUUAAAAAUUUAAAUAAUAAAUGCUGAAAUUAUAUAAAAGUUUAAAUUUAAAUAAAAUCGCUGUUAUUGAGUGAGAGAGAACAGUGAGACUGGAUUAAAUAUACGAAGCCCAGAAUACCCAUCAUGACUACUAUUAUUAUCAUUAUUAUUCGUUUAAAAAUUAGUUUCAGCUAAGCCAAAUUCUUAACUGUAAGACAUUGAUGAAUGUACAAAAAAAUGAAGGAGCGAGGUUCCAGUUCUGUCCGAUUAUUUUAAGAAAGAAAGAAGUAAUAAAGGUGAAAAGGAAAAUAAACUAAAUAAAAAGGAAAGAGAAGCAAAUAAGGAAUGAAUUACCUUCAGAAUGGUUACACACACACACACACACACACACACACACACAUACACACACACACACAUACCAUACACACACAUAUAUAUACAUAUUUAUGCAUUAUAUAUGUAUAUAUACAUACAUAUA